rnacentral:SRP_RNA from 1 species
GCCAGGCGUGGUGGCUCAUGCCUGUAAUCCUAGCAUUUUGGGAGGCUGAGGUGGGUGGAUCACCUGAGGUCAGGAGUUCAAGACCAGCCUGGCCAACAUGGUGAAACCCCAUCUCUA